UACGUAGGGGGCGAGCGUUGUCCGGAUUUAUUGGGCGUAAAGAGCGUGUAGGCGGCCAUGUAGGUCCGUUGUGAAAACUCGAGGCUCAACCUCGAGACGCCGAUGGAAACCAUGUGGCUAGAGUCCGGAAGAGGAGAGUGGAAUUCCUGGUGUAGCGGUGAAAUGCGCAGAUAUCAGGAAGCACACCCGUGGCUAAGGCGGCUCUCUGGAACGCAACUGACGCUGAGACGCGAAAGCGUGGGGAGCAAACAGG
rnacentral:rRNA from 1 species